UACAGAGGUCUCAAGCGUUGUUCGGAUUCAUUGGGCGUAAAGGGUGCGUAGGUGGCGCGCUAAGUCAGGUGUGAAAUUUCGGAGCUUAACUCCGAAACUGCAUUUGAUACUGGCGUGCUUGAGGACUGGAGAGGAGACUGGAAUUCAUGGUGUAGCAGUGAAAUGCGUAGAGAUCAUGAGGAAGACCAGUGGCGAAGGCGGGUCUCUGGGCUGAUACUGACGCUGAGGCGCGAAAGCCAGGGGAGCAAACGGG
rnacentral:rRNA from 1 species